rnacentral:rRNA from 1 species
UUGGGAUUACUAAACCUAAAGGCGCAAUGAAAGUGAAGGUUCGCCUUGCGCGAACCGAGGGAAGAUGGGCGUGCCGUGUCGCCACGGCCGCUCCGCACUCCCGGGGCGUCUCGUUCUCAUUGCGAGAAGAGGCGCACCAAGAGCGUACACGCUGGGACCCGAAAGAUGGUGAACUAUGCCUGGUCAGGACGAAGUCAGGGGAAACCCUGAUGGAGGUCCGUAGCGAUUCUGACGUGCAAAUCGAUCGUCGGAACUGGGUAUAGGGGCGAAAGACUAAUCGAACCAUCUAGUAGCUGGUUCCCUCCGAAGUUUCCCUCAGGAUAGCUGGCGCUCGUCGCCUACGAGUCUCAUCCGGUAAAGCGAAUGAUUAGAGGCAUUGGGGUCGAAACGGCCUCAACCUAUUCUCAAACUUUAAAUGGGUGAGAUCUCCGGCUUGCUCGAACUACUGAAGCCGCGAGACACGGAUCAGAGUGCCAAGUGGGCCAUUUUUGGUAAGCAGAACUGGCGCUGUGGGAUGAACCAAACGCCGAGUUAAAGCGCCUAAAUCGACGCUUAUGGGAUACCAUGAAAGGCGUUGGUAA